rnacentral:lncRNA from 1 species
GGGUUAGGUUAGGGUUAGGGUUAGUUUAGGGUUAGGUUAGGGUUAGGGUUAGGUUAGGGUUAGGUUGGGGUUAGGUUAGGGUUAGGGUUAGGUUGGGUUAGGUUAGGUUAGGGUUAGGUUUGGGUUAGGGUUAGGUUUGGGUUAGGGUUAGGUUAGGGUUAGGUUGGGUUAGGGUUGGGUUAGGGUUAGGUUAGGGUUAGGUUGGGUUAGGUUAGGGUUAGGGUUAGGUUAGGGUUAGGUUAGGGUUAGGGUUAGUUUAGGGUUAGGUUAGGUUAGGGUUAGGUUUGGGUUAGGGUUAGGUUAGGUUUGGGUUAGGGUUAGGUUAGGGUUAGGUUAGGGUUAGGUUUGGGUUAGGUUAGGGUUAGGUUAGGGUUAGGUUAGGGUUAGGUUUGGGUUAGGGUUAGGUUAGGGUUAGGUUAGGUUUGGGUUUGGGUUAGGGUUAGGUUAGGUUAGGGUUAGGUUAGGGUUAGGUUAGGGUUAGGUUUGGGUUAGGGUUAGGUUAGGGUUAGGUUUGGGUUUGGGUUAGGUUAGGGUUAGGGUUAGGUUAGGGUUAGGUUAGGGUUAGGGUUAGGUUUGGGUUUGGGUUUGGGUUAGGGUUAGGUUAGGGUUAGGGUUAGGUUAGGGUUAGGUUAGGGUUAGGGUCGCUGUACUGUUACCUUCCAGACUGGUUCCAUAUGAAUGAAUUUAGCCAUAUUGUAUGUACGUGUUAUUUCGCUGUUGUUGUUGAUGAUGUUGUUGGUAUUCAUCACAUCGACUCAUCUCAGUCUUACCUGGUAAAAUAAAAGUUUAUGUAUUUAACAAAAUAUUACCCCGUCAAUGCACAUUUAUGCUACACGUUAGUUGUUGCUUUACAUUAGGACAUACUUGUUUCAAAGUGCAUGGAUUUGAAAUCUCUUCUCAGUCUUUAUUUCCCACGACAGAAAUCACUUCUAGCAAUAUUAGGCAGUGGGACACUCACUACCCACUCACUAUUAUAAAUACUGUGGGUCUCAUUGACACAGGUAAACGUGAAUUGUGUGUGUUUUAAAGUAGUUAAAUUGUUCUACGGUAGUCUAGUGAUUCAGGCCCGAUACAUUGUUACUAUCUCUUUGUUCAAAAUACUUCAAUUCAAAGGAAAGAAAGAAAACUAAUGCAUUAUUUUUAAAUGGUCUUAUUUUCCCUCCUUGUUUUAAGAAAAAAAUACAUUGCAGAACUGCAACAUUUAUAGUCUAUUUGAGACAUGGAACAAACAAAAAAACUUAUACAAUAAUUUUCAUCUGAAAAAUGCAUUUUUGGUUUUCAAGUCAUGAGGACAAAUGUAUUUUGUCUUUACAGAGACAGGGUUUAUUUUGUCUUUACAGAGACAGGGUAAGCGAAACAACAUUAACUCUGAAUAUUUCCUUCAUUUUUGAUCAUAAUUGAAUUGCUUAUCAAUAGGUUAUCCAUACGAUUCCAAUACAACAUCACAAUUUUAAUACCAGUUCUCAUUCGUGUUCCAACUAAUGAAAAUAAAGAAGAAAAAAAAAAAAAAAAAAAAAUAAUCAUGUUUUUCUUUUACAAAAAAUAAAAAUACAAAAAACAGACACAGAAACAAAUCAGUCAAAAUCUACAGAAAAUUGUAAAUGUAUAAUUAUACUUUGGGAUAGACAGCAUAUUGGCUUUGUUUUCAUCUUUGGAAUGAAGCUUUUGCUUAGAAUAUUCAACCACUACCACACAGUCGAGCCUGAUCCCAGAUCUGUCCGUGCUGUAUAUCUAACUCCUACGGUGGUUGUCACACAAACUGACCUGGAACCAGGCUUCUCAACCACCUCCUGUGAGGUCAUCCUUUCCAGGUGUAAUUUAGCCAUUGUCGUCAGAUUGUAACAACACCUUGCCUUUGGUUUAGAAAACACUCCUCUCUAAGUACCCCUUUUCACACUAUCAUGCCGACCUGAACAAAACCGGGUCAGUACAGUAUGGCUCGGCUCAGUUCGGUUCGGCUCAGUGGUGUGAAAAGGCUUUAUAUAAGACCCUUACUGAGCCAACGUACAUGUAUGUAUCAAGCAUAGACACAUUAAGAGAAUCCAACUGUGGAGAGUGAGAUUGAUGGAUCAAAGUUAAAAGUUAUUGUUCAAUAUUCUCAUGUUCUACUAAAUGAACGAGUGAUUUGAUUCAUCAAGGUUAUUUUGGUUAUCAUCACACUGACCUCUGAACUCUAACCCCCUGUGGUCGUCGGACUGUCUGACCCUUCUCCUACGACCCCCUGAGGUAGGUUAGUGGCCUUGCUGUAGAUCUCUUUAUGUGUGGUUUAAUUAUUAUUAUUAUUUUUUUAAAUUAUUAACCCAGUGAGGACCAGAGUAACAGUACAAUCACUUCAUCCUAAACUCAUUUGUGGUAUUUUAAUCAGACACUGAUUGGGUGCUGCUGUCUAAUAAGAGGGUUUUAUUUGUCAGUUAGCUAAGUGGAAGGUCAAAGAGAGGCAUAGAUUGUCAGGCACAGUGCCUUCAGUGACAUCAUUAAGUUGAGUCUUUUUUCCGUAAUAUUCUUUGAAAGAUGUAUUUUUUUCCUACUGUGUUUUCAGGUCUAUUGUUGUUGGUCAAAAUACUACAUGGUUUGUCCAUCGAUGUCAAAUUCUGCGCUGUGUAAGUUACUAUACGAAGGCUAUUAUCAAAGUUGUGGACUACUGUCUCAAAAUGGGUCUCAGAACAGGUUUUCGACUCAUUCUAUUUAUAUCUCAUCUGUCACUCUUUGACAGUAUGUUAACAGUUAGCCUUGUGUUAGCCUUGUGCAGUAUGUUAUUAACAGUUAGCCUUGUGUUCAUAACCUUCUACUCAGAAUAUGGACGCUUCAGCUAAUUCACUUAUUACCCAAAGGGUACACUAUGACAGUGGAGGGUCAAUAUAUACACAACUGAGCCACACUCUCAGCAACCACAUGCAGUCCAUAGAGUGGUACGGGAUUCUGAACUUAAAAAGUAAUGAAGUCACAAUGCAUUACACUGCUAGCUAAUUGUAAAUAUACUCAUGCAUAAAAUCUGGGCUAUAGCACUGUUGUUUGGCAGUUGCUAAACAUAAUGCUACACUUCAACACAGAAGAAUAGGACAUAAGACAAAGAAGGAAACAUUUACAAAAUGGUGGUCAGAAACUAGGUCGUAAGACAAAGAAGGAAACAUUUACAAAAUGGUGGUCAGAAACUAGGUCGUAAGACAAAGAAGGAAACAUUUACAAAAUGGUGGUCAGAAACUAGGUCAUAAGACAAAGAAGGAAACAUUUACAAAAUGGUGGUCAGAAACUAGGUCAUAAGAACGGGGGGGUUUUUCUCUUUUUUUUCCUAUUUUUUUUUUUACAUUGUAACAUGUAAACUGUGGGCUUAAUCUGCAAUUAUCCUCAUUACAGAAAGCUGAGUGAAUAACCGGAGCCCCUCCAACAACAACAAAAAAAUAAAACCAGAAACAAUUAAAAACCCAAACCACAAAAAAGACAAGCAUUUGUUUUUGGUAAGCGCACCUCUUCAACUAUUACAGAAAUCACAACUUAAAAUGUAUCAAGAUUUUUUUUGGUUUUUUUUUUGUCUCGUAAAGUCACACAGUUACCAAAAUAAUAAUUUAUUACAUAUGCUAGAAUAACAUUACCCUAACCACUAGUAUCUCUGAGGUAUAUCUGAAAACAUUAAGGAGAGCACGAUCUGCGCUGUUGACAUGCCACAACUUUUUCAUUUUUUCAUUUUUUUUUUUUUUAAAUGUAAAGCUUUGUAACCAUUUGGUAGAAUAAGAAGAGGAAGAGGAAACAGAUAUAUUUGGAAAACCUUUGGUAUCAUUUCUCUUAGUUGUUUGCUUAGUGAUUGCAUUGCAAAGUACCACAGAGCCGGACUAAUACAUUGUCCACUAGUCAACAACGCGACGGCCAGCUAGAAGCUGAGGUAAGUACAGAGAGGUCUACACUUUGCUUUGGUUCAAGCAAGGCACUCGUCCCAUGGUUAUCUCAUACUUUGCAACAAAAGCGCUGUUUACGUCUUUGUUAAAGCAGCCCCAGUGGAAAAGUAAUAUAGCUGGCUGAAUAUAGGCCUUUAACCCUAUUAGUAAUAUAGGCAUAUAACCCUAUUAGUAAUAUAGGCCUUUAACCCUAUUAGUAAUAUAGGCCUUUAACCCUAUUAGUAAUAUAGGCCUUUAACCCUAUUAGUAAUAUAGGCCUUUAACCCUAUUAGUAAUAUAGGCAUAUAACCCUAUUAGUAAUAUAGGCAUAUAACCCUAUUAGUAAUAUAGGCCUUUAACCCUAUUAGUAAUAUAGGCAUAUAACCCUAUUAGUAAUAUAGGCAUAUAACCCUAUUAGUAAUAUAGGCCUUUAACCCUAUUAGUAAUAUAGGCCUUUAACCCUAUUAGUAAUAUAGGCCUAAAAGCCUAUUAGUAAUAUAGGCCUUUAACCCUAUUAGUAAUAUAGGCCUUUAACCCUAUUAGUAAUAUAGGCCUUUAACCCUAUUAGUAAUAUAGGCAUAUAACCCUAUUAGUAAUAUAGGCAUAUAACCCUAUUAGUAAUAUAGGCCUCUAACCCUAUUAGUAAUAUAGGCCUCUAACCCUAUUAGUAAUAUAGGCCUCUAACCCUAUUAGUAAUAUAGGCAUAUAACCCUAUUAGUAAUAUAGGCAUAUAACCCUAUUAGUAAUAUAGGCAUAUAACCCUAUUAGUAAUAUAGGCCUCUAACCCUAUUAGUAAUAUAGGCCUCUAACCCUAUUAGUAAUAUAGGCCUCUAACCCUAUUAGUAAUAUAGGCCUAAAAGCCUAUUAGUAAUAUAGGCCUCUAACCCUAUUAGUAAUAUAGGCCUAAAAGCCUAUCAUGUCAGCUCUAGAGAGAGAAUCCAUUGGAGUCAGUAUUGUCAUAUGGUUCCAGGAGUCUCACAUCAACUGUUGCCACUCCCAUAUCUUAAGUAUAUUUGCAUAAUGUAUUAUAUGCUAAUUUGUAUAGGCUACACAUAGAUGAAGGUGGUAACACGUGAUGAACUCCCGUACUUUCAUAGAUGACAAUGGUCCCAAGUUCCCACUAGAUUCAGCAUUAUUUCACUCUCUCUCUCAUUUCAACUCCAUAUUACCUUUCCAAACAGGAGCUAGAGAAUGAUUAGUAUAAUGAUGUGUUCGUAACCAAGUGGGAAGUGGGAAUUUCUCACAUGUAACUGGGAAAAAUCCCAUUGAAGACCCCUCCAACUGGUAAUUACUAGUGGGGAAACUCGUCCCUCCCACUUCUCUCGCAUGCUGACCUUUGACAUCACCUACUUUAUUUAACUAUGCAAGUCAGUUAAGAACAAAUUCUUAUUUACAAUGACGGUCUACACCGGCCAAACCCGGACGACGCUGGGACAAUUGUACGCCGCCCUUAUGGGACUCCCAAUCACAGCCGGUUGUGAUACAGCCUGGAUUCAAACCAGGGUGUCUUUAGUGAUGCCUCUUGCACUGAGAUGCAGUGCCUUAGACCGCUGCGCCACUCAGGAGCCUCAGUGGCUCCCUACUAAGAGAAUGGCCUCUAUAACAGCAUUUCCAGCAGUUAAAUGCAACAACAAAACAUUAUUUAUAAAAAGCUAUCUAUUCAUAUGGUUUGUGAACACUAUAAUUUGUUAACGAGCAUGAUAGCUGUACUUUUAGUUCAUGGUUAAGUAGCUUGUUGACCUUUAGCCAAUCUGCGUUUCUCAACGAGUUCAAAGCACGUGAAUUCAUCCUACUGGUAUUUAAUACUUCACAACUGGCAUAUUCCCACCUCCCACUUGGUUACGAACACAGAAUUAGUUCCAAGGAGUACACUACUGCUAUUAUAAUUAUUACAGCUGUUCUGUUCUUGUCUGAACCAGAAUGCAUCAGGGUUACAUUUUGGUAUGUGUCUUUCAGAGAGGCCUUUCACCAGUGCCUUUGGUUUCUUUGGUUUGGUUUGGUUAAAAUCACAACGUUGCACUGGAACAGUAGGCAGGGAGGAGGAUUGUGGCUUUUGAAGUCCAUUUACAGUAUAUUGUCCAUUGUUUUAUUUCCAUUAAGUCUGAUUGUUUAGGAGUGAUACUUGGGGGAUUGAGGGAAGCAUUUUCAAAUGUAUGGACUGUAGCCUUCUUUGCAAAGGCACUAGUAAAAACACAGCUACUAUAAUGGACACUGUGAUAAGAUGGACAUUGUGGUUUUUGGGCUAAUCAUUCUGACUCUCCUGUGUUUGUAGAUUUAUGAAAACGUUUUUUUCUUUUUUCCGGCACUGCUUGUUUGGCCGUUACAUAAAAAAUAAAAAUAAAAAAAACAAUGAUUAAACGUUCAUCCCUAGAUGUCUGGGAAUUAUAGUAGUAUGUAUAUAUAUA